rnacentral:rRNA from 1 species
CCUACGGGUGGCAGCAGUGAGGAAUAUUGGUCAAUGGCCGGAAGGCUGAACCAGCCAAGCCGCGUGAAGGACGAAGGUGCCAAGCAUUGUAAACUUCUUUUGUCAAGGGACAAAAUCAGGCUCGAGAGCCUGACCGAGGGUACUGGACGAAAAAGCAUCGGCUAACUCCGUGCCAGCACCCGAGGUAAUACUGGGGGGACGAGCGUUCAGCGGAAUUACUGGGCGUAGAGCGCAGGUAGGCGGUAUGUGAAGUCAAGGGGGAAAUCCCCGCGCUCAACGGGGGAACUGCCUUUGAAACGGGCAAACUGGAGUGUGUGAGGGGAUAGUGGAAUUCCAGGUGUAGGAGUGAAAUCCGUAGAUAUCUGGAGGAACAUCAGUGGCGAAGGCGACUAUCUGGCACAUAACUGACGCUGAGGGGCGAAAGCGUGGGUAGCAAACAGGAUUAGAUACCUUGUAGUC